AUGAACGCUAGCGACAGGCUUAACACAUGCAAGUCGAGGGGCAGCACAGGUAGCAAUACCGGGUGGCGACCGGCGCACGGGUGAGUAACGCGUAUGCAACUUACCUAUCAGAGGGGGAUAACCCGGCGAAAGUCGGACUAAUACCGCAUGAAGCAGGGGCCCCGCAUGGGGAUAUUUGCUAAAGAUUCAUCGCUGAUAGAUAGGCAUGCGUUCCAUUAGGCAGUUGGCGGGGUAACGGCCCACCAAACCGACGAUGGAUAGGGGUUCUGAGAGGAAGGUCCCCCACAUUGGUACUGAGACACGGACCAAACUCCUACGGGAGGCAGCAGUGAGGAAUAUUGGUCAAUGGCCGAGAGGCUGAACCAGCCAAGUCGCGUGAGGGAUGAAGGUUCUAUGGAUCGUAAACCUCUUUUAUAAGGGAAUAAAGUGCGGGACGUGUCCCGUUUUGUAUGUACCUUAUGAAUAAGGAUCGGCUAACUCCGUGCCAGCAGCCGCGGUAAUACGGAGGAUCCGAGCGUUAUCCGGAUUUAUUGGGUUUAAAGGGUGCGUAGGCGGCCUUUUAAGUCAGCGGUGAAAGUCUGUGGCUCAACCAUAGAAUUGCCGUUGAAACUGGGGGGCUUGAGUAUGUUUGAGGCAGGCGGAAUGCGUGGUGUAGCGGUGAAAUGCAUAGAUAUCACGCAGAACCCCGAUUGCGAAGGCAGCCUGCCAAGCCAUGACUGACGCUGAUGCACGAAAGCGUGGGGAUCAAACAGGAUUAGAUACCCUGGUAGUCCACGCAGUAAACGAUGAUCACUAGCUGUUUGCGAUACACUGUAAGCGGCACAGCGAAAGCGUUAAGUGAUCCACCUGGGGAGUACGCCGGCAACGGUGAAACUCAAAGGAAUUGACGGGGGCCCGCACAAGCGGAGGAACAUGUGGUUUAAUUCGAUGAUACGCAAGGAACCUUACCCGGGUUUGAACGCAUUCGGACCGAGGUGGAAACACCUUUUCUAGCAAUAGCCGUUUGCGAGGUGCUGCAUGGUUGUCGUCAGCUCGUGCCGUGAGGUGUCGGCUUAAGUGCCAUAACGAGCGCAACCCUUGCCACUAGUUACUAACAGGUAAAGCUGAGGACUCUGGUGGGACUGCCAGCGUAAGCUGCGAGGAAGGCGGGGAUGACGUCAAAUCAGCACGGCCCUUACAUCCGGGGCGACACACGUGUUACAAUGGCGUGGACAAAGGGAAGCCACCUGGCGACAGGGAGCGAAUCCCCAAACCACGUCUCAGUUCGGAUCGGAGUCUGCAACCCGACUCCGUGAAGCUGGAUUCGCUAGUAAUCGCGCAUCAGCCAUGGCGCGGUGAAUACGUUCCCGGGCCUUGUACACACCGCCCGUCAAGCCAUGGGAGCCGGGGGUACCUGAAGUCCGUAACCGCGAGGAUCGGCCUAGGGUAAAACUGGUGACUGGGGCU
rnacentral:rRNA from 1 species